UGCGUAGGCGGAAUAUUAAGUCAGUGUGAAAUCCUGCGGCUCAACCGUAGAACUGCCAUUGAUACUGAUAUUCUUGAAUGUAGUUGAGGUAGGCGGAAUGUGUAAUGUAGCGGUGAAAUGCUUAGAUAUUACACAGAACACCGAUUGCGAAGGCAGCUUACUAAACUAUGAUUGACGCUGAGGCACGAAAGCGUGGGGAGCGAACAGGAUUAGAUACCCUGGUAGUCC
rnacentral:rRNA from 1 species